rnacentral:misc_RNA from 2 species
GACUAUUGUACCUUGUUGCUUCGGCGGGCCCGCCAGCGUUGCUGGCCGCCGGGGGGCGACUCGCCCCCGGGCCCGUGCCCGCCGGAGACCCCAACAUGAACCCUGUUCUGAAAGCUUGCAGUCUGAGUGUGAUUCUUUGCAAUCAGUUAAAACUUUCAACAAUGGAUCUCUUGGUUCCGGCAUCGAUGAAGAACGCAGCGAAAUGCGAUAACUAAUGUGAAUUGCAGAAUUCAGUGAAUCAUCGAGUCUUUGAACGCACAUUGCGCCCCCUGGUAUUCCGGGGGGCAUGCCUGUCCGAGCGUCAUUGCUGCCCUCAAGCCCGGCUUGUGUGUUGGGCCCUCGUCCCCCGGCUCCCGGGGGACGGGCCCGAAAGGCAGCGGCGGCACCGCGUCCGGUCCUCGAGCGUAUGGGGCUUCGUCUUCCGCUCCGUAGGCCCGGCCGGCGCCCGCCGACGCAUUUUUUUGCAACUUGUUUUUUUCCAGGUUGACCUCGGAUCAGGUAGGGAUACCCGCUGAACUUAAGCAUAUCAAUAAGCGGAGGA